rnacentral:rRNA from 1 species
CCUACGGGAGGCAGCAGUGAGGAAUAUUGGUCAAUGGGCGCGAGCCUGAACCAGCCAAGUAGCGUGAAGGAUGACUGCCCUACGGGUUUUAAACUUCUUUUAUAAGGGAAUAAAGUGACCCACGUGUGCCGUUUUGUAUGUACUUUAUGAAUAAGCAUCGGCUAAUUCCGUGCCAGCAGCCGCGGUAAUACGGAGGAUCCGAGCGUUAUCCGGAUUUAUUGGGGUUAAAGGGAGCGUAGAUGGGUUGUUAAGUCAGUGGUGAAAGUUUGCGGCUCAACCGUAAAAUUGCAAUUGAUAAUGGCAGGCUUGAAUACAGCUGAGGGAAGAGGAA